AGAGUUUGAUCCUGGCUCAGGAUGAACGCUAGCGACAGGCCUAACACAUGCAAGUCGAGGGGCAGCAAGUCAGUAGCAAUACCGACGUUGGCGACCGGCGAAUGGGUGAGUAACACGUAUGCAACCUUUCCGUGAAACGGGGACAGCCUUCCGAAAGGGAGAUUAAGCCCCGAUGGACCACACGGGCCCCAUGGCCUGUAUGGGAAACGCGAGGAUCACGGGUGGGCAUGCGUCCCAUUAGGCAGUUGGCGGGGUAACGGCCCACCAAACCGACGAUGGGUAGGGGUUCUGAGAGGAAAGUCCCCCACAUUGGAACUGAGACACGGUCCAAACUCCUACGGGAGGCAGCAGUGAGGAAUAUUGGUCAAUGGCCGGAAGGCUGAACCAGCCAAGUCGCGUGCGGGAAGAAGGCCCUACGGGUCGUAAACCGCUUUUAUACGGGAAUAAAGUGGGGGACGUGUCCCUCAUUGUAGGUACCGUAAGAAUAAGGAUCGGCUAACUCCGUGCCAGCAGCCGCGGUAAUACGGAGGAUCCGAGCGUUAUCCGGAUUUAUUGGGUUUAAAGGGUGCGCAGGCGGCUUUUUAAGUUGCCGGUGAAAUGUCGGGGCUCAACUCCGUCACUGCCGGCGAUACUGGAAGGCUUGAGAAUGGAGGAGGAUUCCGGAAUGUGUGGUGUAGCGGUGAAAUGCAUAGAUAUCACACAGAACACCGAUUGCGAAGGCAGGAGUCCACACCAUAUCUGACGCUGAGGCACGAAAGCGUGGGGAUCGAACAGGAUUAGAUACCCUGGUAGUCCACGCAGUAAACGAUGAUUACUAGCUGUUUGCGAUACACAGUAAGCGGCACAGCGAAAGCGUUAAGUAAUCCACCUGGGGAGUACGCCGGCAACGGUGAAACUCAAAGGAAUUGACGGGGGCCC
rnacentral:rRNA from 1 species